UACGUAGGGCGCAAGCGUUAUCCGGAAUUAUUGGGCGUAAAGAGCGUGUAGGCGGUCCGGUAAGUCCGCUGUGAAAGUCGGGGGCUCAACCCUCGAAUGCCGGUGGAUACUGUCGGGCUAGAGUGCGGAAGAGGCGAGUGGAAUUCCUGGUGUAGCGGUGAAAUGCGCAGAUAUCAGGAGGAACACCUAUUGCGAAGGCAGCUCGCUGGGACGUAACUGACGCUGAGACGCGAAAGCGUGGGGAUCAAACAGG
rnacentral:rRNA from 1 species